rnacentral:rRNA from 1 species
AUACGUAGGGGGCGAGCGUUGUCCGGAAUGAUUGGGCGUAAAGGGCGCGUAGGCGGCCCGGUAAGUCUGGAGUGAAAGUCCUGUUUUUAAGAUGGGAAUUGCUUUGGAUACUGUCGGGCUUGAGUGCAGGAGAGGUAAGUGGAAUUCCCAGUGUAGCGGUGAAAUGCGUAGAGAUUGGGAGGAACACCAGUGGCGAAGGCGACGUACUGGACUGUAACUGCCGCUGAGGCGCGAAAGUGUGGGGAGCAAACAGGAUUAGAUACCCUGGUAGUCCACCCUGUAAACGAUGAAUGCUAGGUGUAGGGGUCUUCCACGACUUCUGUGCCGUAGCUAACGCAUUAAGCGCCCCGCCUGGGGAGUACGGCCGCAAGGCUAAAACUCAAAGGAAUUGACGGGG